rnacentral:tRNA from 1 species
CCAUGGGACGCCUCAAUGGUGAGGCAGCGGUUUGUAGUGCCGUGGCGUCUUCGGACGUGGGCAGGUUCGAUCCCUGCCCCAUGGA